UUCUGGGAUUACAGGCGUUAGCCACCACCUGUGCCCGGCCCUAUUAUGGUUGGUAAUUUAAAUCAAGAGCUAAACAAGGUCAAUGUAUUUAAUUUGUUAUACUUCUUCAAUCUCUUUUAGUAUAGAGCAGUUCCCCCUUUUUUUUCUUUCAUGCUAUUGACUUGUUUCAGAAGCAAGUUAGUUUCUUGUAGGUCACUCCAUAUUUUGCAUUUCGGAAGUCUGUGUUUUCCUUUGUGACAUUAUGUGUCCUGUUCUGUAGCCCCUAUAUUUCCUUUAAAUGGAAAUAAUCCAGUCUGAGAGUUUUGUCUCUUAACUGAGGAUUUUGAUCCAUUUAGAUUGGUUGAGAUUACUGAUAUUUAAAAUUCAUUCCUACCAUCUCAUUUUUGCUUUCUAAUUGCCUGCUUUUUCUUUGGUUCUUCUUAACAUCUUUUCUACUUAAAAAAAAAAGUAUUUCCUUUAUCCUCUUUUAAACAUUUGAUUUCUAUUCUUUUAGUGACUGUUUUUCAAUUUUUUUUUUUUUUUUUUGUGACGGAGUUUCACUCUUGUUACCCAGGUUGGAGUGCAAUGACGUGAUCUCGGCUCACCACAAUCACCACCUCCCAUGUUCAAGCGACUCUCAGACAGGGCCUUGCUGUGUUGCCUGGGGUGGUGUCAAAUUCCUGGCCUCAAGUGAUCCCCACAUCUUGGCUUCCCAAAGUGCUGGGAUUACAGGCCUGAGCCACCGCACCCAGCCUCAUCAUUUCUUUUAAACUUAAUUAUGUGGGGGCGGGGGAGGUUGGAGUCCUUCUUAAAGCAGAAAUUUUUUCAUUGAGGGUUUG
rnacentral:lncRNA from 10 species